GAGGUGUCGUGCCCAUCGAGCGUGGAUAAGGUCGGCUUAUGGCGGCAUUGGAAAUAUAUGAUUUUUAUGACGAGGGGGGAGGUGAGACGAAGUGGUGAUUAGGAACCACUGUAUGUUUAUUGGUAAGGACGGUUGGGUCACUGUAUAACACUAUGGGUGGAGUUAUAUAUGUAUAUAUGUUAAUUUAUGCUUAUUUAUGUCUAACCUUUUGGUUACAG